rnacentral:lncRNA from 1 species
GACGCUAUAGAUCUCUGAAGACUGGAACGACGCGCUUCAGCAACAGCUUCCACCCUUCAGCAAUUAGACUCCUGAAGCUUUACAACUCUACUAAUAUUUUUAUUCAAAUUUAUUCCCUCCCCCCACCGGAAGGAGCUACAAAAAAUACCACCAACUUUGUUGUGUGGCUAUUAAAGAUGCUAUUCUGUGUGGCACAUCACAUAAGUGUGAUCCUAAGGAGAACACAAACACAUUUUAAACAUGUGAUGGCUGUUACAUCAGCUCACGUAUCAUGUGCCGCCCUGAGGGUGAAAUAGGAAAAGUACCCAGAGAUGUAUAACAAAGGAACAUUUGUUGAGAAAAUGGGUUGGACUGGUUAAGGGCCGAGCACCUCCGUCACCUCGUCUGUGAACAGCUGAAAACCGUACUGGGAACAAGAGCAUAAAAAGCUUGGGAUGGGUAUAAAAGCGCAGGGGUCCUCGUAAACAUCCAAAUGUAAAUCACUCGGCCUUGUGGCUGCUUGUUCACGGUUGACAAUAGGGUCUUCUGUCCUUCUUGCUCCGGACUCCUUGAUUCCUCCUACUCUCUUAUUUAGAUGAAGUGAUAGAAUUCGGCUUCUACCACAGAAGCUCUGGCAUGGAUGGAUACAAAGAAACAGAAAAAGGCUUACAUAUGGUCUGACAGUUCGUUGGUGAACAGUAACUCAGACAGUCUGAGUCACUGGGUGGUAAGAGAAUGGCAGAACCACAAAGGAAGCUUACUCAAACCAGUUUAUGGAAAACAAUAGAGGAAUUACACAAGAAAAAGUGUGAUAAAUUAAAUCACGUACCCGCCCAUACAGGUGAACAAACGCAGGAAUGUGAAGGGAAUCGCAUGGCUGACGAAUUGUCAGUGACCAGAAGAGAUUUCCCUCGGCAGGCAAGGGUGGUCACAGGGAAUAUGUUGCUUAUGCAUCCAAAAGAAUGGUCAAAAACGGAUCUCUGGAAUCCUCUCGAGUCGGGGAGACGGCUGUUUCAUCCCCCUCCCCGAGCACGCUGCUGA